GAUGAACGCUGGCGGCGUGCCUAAUACAUGCAAGUCGAGCGAACAGAUGAGGAGCUUGCUCCUCUGACGUUAGCGGCGGACGGGUGAGUAACACGAGGAUAGCCUACCUAUAAGACUGGGAUAACUUCGGGAAACCGGAGCUAAUACCGGAUAAUAUAUUGAACCGCAUGGUUCAAUAGUGAAAGACGGUUUUGCUGUCACUUAUAGAUGGAUCCGCGCCGCAUUAGCUAGUUGGUAAGGUAACGGCUUACCAAGGCAACGAUGCGUAGCCGACCUGAGAGGGUGAUCGGCCACACUGGAACUGAGACACGGUCCAGACUCCUACGGGAGGCAACAGUAGGGAAUCUUCCGCAAUGGGCGAAAGCCUGACGGAGCAACGCCGCGUGAGUGAUGAAGGUCUUCGGAUCGUAAAACUCUGUUAUUAGGGAAGAACAAAUGUGUAAGUAACUAUGCACGUCUUGACGGUACCUAAUCAGAAAGCCACGGCUAACUACGUG
rnacentral:rRNA from 1 species